rnacentral:rRNA from 1 species
AUUGAACGCUGGCGGCAGGCCUAACACAUGCAAGUCGAACGGUAACAGGAAGCAGCUUGCUGCUUUGCUGACGAGUGGCGGACGGGUGAGUAAUGUCUGGGAAACUGCCUGAUGGAGGGGGAUAACUACUGGAAACGGUAGCUAAUACCGCAUAACGUCGCAAGACCAAAGAGGGGGACCUUCGGGCCUCUUGCCAUCGGAUGUGCCCAGAUGGGAUUAGCUAGUAGGUGGGGUAACGGCUCACCUAGGCGACGAUCCCUAGCUGGUCUGAGAGGAUGACCAGCCACACUGGAACUGAGACACGGUCCAGACUCCUACGGGAGGCAGCAGUGGGGAAUAUUGCACAAUGGGCGCAAGCCUGAUGCAGCCAUGCCGCGUGUAUGAAGAAGGCCUUCGGGUUGUAAAGUACUUUCAGCGGGGAGGAAGGGAGUAAAGUUAAUACCUUUGCUCAUUGACGUUACCCGAAGAAGAAGCACCGGCUAACUCCGUG